rnacentral:rRNA from 1 species
AUUGAACGCUGGCGGCAUGCCUUACACAUGCAAGUCGAACGGCAGCACGGGAGCAAUCCUGGUGGCGAGUGGCGAACGGGUGAGUAAUACAUCGGAACGUGCCCAGUAGUGGGGGAUAGCCCGGCGAAAGCCGGAUUAAUACCGCAUGAGACCUGAGGGUGAAAGCGGGGGAUCGCAAGACCUCGCGCUAUUGGAGCGGCCGAUGUCAGAUUAGCUAGUUGGUAGGGUAAAGGCCUACCAAGGCAACGAUCUGUAGUUGGUCUGAGAGGACGACCAGCCACACUGGGACUGAGACAAGGCCCAGACUCCUACGGGAGGCAGCAGUGGGAAAGUUUGGACAAUGGGCGCAAGCCUGAUCCAGCAAUGCCGCGUGCAGGAAGAAGGGCUUCGGGUGGUAAACUGCUGUUGUCAGGGAAGAAAUCUUCUGGGCUAAUACCCUGGGAGGAUGACGGUACCUGAAGAAUAAGCACCGGCUAACUACGUGCCAGCCGCCGCAGUAACAC